rnacentral:rRNA from 1 species
AUUGAACGCUGGCGGAAUGCUUUACACAUGCAAGUCGAGCGGCAGCGCGGGGCAACCUGGCGGCGAGCGGCGAACGGGUGAGUAAUGCAUCGGAACAUGUCCAUUUGUGGGGGAUAGCCCGGCGAAAGCCGGAUUAAUACCGCAUGAGCCCGAGAGGGGAAAGUGGGGGACUCGGAAGGGCCUCACGCGAAUGGGUUGGCCGAUGUCCGAUUAGCUAGUUGGUGGGGUAAAGGCUCACCAAGGCGAUGAUCGGUAGCUGGUCUGAGAGGAUGAUCAGCCACACUGGGACUGAGACACGGCCCAGACUCCUACGGGAGGCAGCAGUGGGGAAUUUUGGACAAUGGGGGAAACCCUGAUCCAGCCAUUCCGCGUGAGUGAAGAAGGCCUUCGGGUUGUAAAGCUCUUUUGUCCGGAGCGAAACGGUUGUGGUGAAUAUCCACGACUACUGACGGUACCGGAAGAAUAAGCACCGGCUAACUACGUGCCAGCCGCCGCGGUAA